rnacentral:rRNA from 1 species
AUCGAACGCUGGCGGCAGGCCUAACACAUGCAAGUCGAACGAGUGGCGGACGGGUGAGUAAUGUCUGGGAAACUGCCUGACGGAGGGGGCUAACUACUGGAACCGGUAGCUAAUACCGCAUACCAUCAGAUGUGCCCAGAUGGGAUUAGCUUGCGGGUGUGGUAACGGCUCACCAAGGCGACGCUCCAUAGCUGGUCUGAGAGGAUGACCAGCCACACUGGAACUGAGACACGGUCCAGACUCCUACGGGAGGCAGCAGUGGGGAAUAUGGCGCAAUGGGCGCAAGCCUGAUGGAGCAACGCCGCGUGUAUGAAGAAGGCUUUCGGGUUGUAAAGUACUUUCGGCGGGGAGGCGGUACCCGCAGAGGAAGCACCGGCUAACUCCGUGCCAGCAGCCGCGGUAAUAC